AUGGCCCUGUGUCAGGACGAGCAGCACAGGCGCCGCAAACCCAGCCUCUUCCAAGAGACAGAAAUGGCAGAGAAGCCUCUCGCCCCCGUGACGAGCCCAGGCCUCAAAGCGCUUCCCGGUGGGUUCCCGAGCGGGACGCAACCGUCAGACGGCGCUGAGCGGAGCAGCCCGGCUCCACGCGCGCUGCAGGGCCCUGCACCGCCUGGUCCUUGCUGCCCCCGCCACCAGCCCUGCGCUCAACUGCAGCCGGAGAACCCCAGGGUGCAGACUCACCACUGCGGCUCUUGCCUCUGCACAAGAAAAAGAGGAAAACAGUUGUUUUUAAAGCCUGAUCAAUAUUUACAAACAGCGGGCAAAAUGAGUCAUAAAGGAGGAGUGUUAACAAUUCCCGGGGCUAAUGGAGAGGCCGAACAGCUCCUCCCCAGAGAGCUGCACUGGCCGGUGCGAGGGUCAUUAACGGCACCGUCCAGUCCCGGUGUUUUCCUGGGCUCACUUGGACGAACGGCAGGAGCUGGAGUGUUGCCAGCCGCUGGAUGGGAAGCGAUCCCCGACCGCUCACUCCAUGCCGAUCCCCAACCGCUCACACCGUGCCAAUCCCUGACCGCUCACACUGUGCUGAUCCCCAACUGCUUGAGCCAUGCCGAUCCCCAACUGCUCAUGCUGUGUUUCACGCACAGCACGGAGGCACUAAGCACUUGUGCAAGCAGAGCUGCAUCGUGGCGGCAAGGUGGGACGCCAGCGGGCUCCGCAGUCCUGCAGGCUACAGCCACGAGGAGCUCCCUGGCUGUGCUGAGGCCAGGCUCCCUGCGGCAUAGCCAGGCUGGCCGCGAUGUAGCCGGGCUGGCUGCUGCAUGGCUGGGCACCCUGCAUCAUGGCCAGGCUCCCUGCAUUACAGCCAGGCUCCCUGCAUCAUGGCCGGGCUCUCUGCAUUGCAGCCAAGCUGGCUGCAUCGUGGCUGGGCUCCCCGCAUUGCAGCCAAGCUGGCUGCUUCACGGCCAGGCUCCCUGCAUCGUGGCCGGGCUCCCUGCAUCGUGGCCAGGCUCCCUGCAUCGCGGCCAGGCUCCCUGCAUCGCGGCCGAGCUGGCUGCCACAUGGCCAGGCUCCCUGCAUUGUGGCUGGGCUCCCUGCAAUGCAGCCGGAUAG
rnacentral:lncRNA from 1 species